rnacentral:misc_RNA from 1 species
GCAAAGAGUUAUAAAUUAAUGCUGAAUCUUCCAAAAAUUUGUCUUUUACUCAUAAGCACUCCAAAUGUAUCGCAUACAGUGAAUGGAUUAUAGUUAGAUUAUGACAAUGAAAUAAUCAAAUUGAUCAUAUCUCAGAAGUGACACGCUUGUCAAUAUUAAAGCUGAAUGUUAUGAGAGAAUAGCAUACAGUGCAUGCAUGCAAAUCUGUUGCAGUAGUUAAGAAGUAUCCAAUUUUACGCAGAGUUUAUACAUGUGAAACUGACCAGCCCCUCUGAUUAGGCAGUGUUGUAUAUAUGUCAUAUUUAUAUUGGUUUCCAUUUCCAACAAAUUAUUUUCCAUUCAUGGCUUGUGCGAAAAAAUUAGGCAGACUCAAUGCGCGUAAAAAGAUUAUUGAGUCAGUUUGGCAAAUCCAUAGUGAUGUAGAACAAAGAGAAAGAACUAAGAAGAAGGAGAAAUCUAUGACCAAUCCUUGAAAGAGAGAAUUAAUUC